GGUUCAUCAAAGACAGGAAGGGAUAGGUGACUUGAAAAGGAAACGUGUGCUUCGGGAAAGUAAACCCUUUCCUCCUCAGCUGUUUUCAAGACUGGCACACUACAGUCAUCAGAGCAGAGUGUUCUCAUCCAGGAUACACAGAAGUGUCUUGCUUGUCCUUGCUGUCCUGGUACUUGCUCUGAAGCCCAGCCUUGAACUUGCA